rnacentral:rRNA from 1 species
GCCCGGGGCGCGCCCCGGGCGGGGCGGGGGCACGGGGGUUGGAGGGCAAGUCUGGUGCCAGCAGCCGCGGUAAUUCCAGCUCCAAUAGCGUAUAUUAAAGUUGUUGCAGUUAAAAAGCUCGUAGUUGAAUUUCGGGGUCAGUAGGUCGGUCGUGCCACUGGUAUGUACUGGUCUCACUGAUUCCUCCUUCCUGAUGAACCGUAAUGCCAUUAA